rnacentral:rRNA from 1 species
AUACGAAGGGGGCUAGCGUUGUUCGGAAUUACUGGGCGUAAAGCGCACGUAGGCGGAUAUUUAAGUCAGGGGUGAAAUCCCGGGGCUCAACCUCGGAACUGCCUUUGAUACUGGGUGUCUAGAGUGUGGAAGAGGUAAGUGGAAUUCCGAGAGUAGAGGUGAAAUUCGUAGAUAUUCGGAGGAACACCAGUGGCGAAGGCGGCUUACUGGUCCAUUACUGACGCUGAGGUGCGAAAGCGUGGGGAGC